CUCGUCAAAUCCUAUCAUCUAUUAUAUGUAAGAUUUAUUCAACUCGAGUUCAUAUUGUGAAAUCUUAUGGAAACUCUUUUUCAUUAUUCACAAUGCUAUGGCAAUGAUCUUCAGAACUCAGUCUCAUAAAUUACAUAGAACUACUCCUUAUCUACAAAGAUCGAUAGAUUUUAUUUAGAUGUACAUUCUACUCCUACAACGAAUCAAUUAUAGUCAACCGAUACUAUAAGAAUCUGAUUAGCUAGGAACCAAGUGUAUAUACAAUCAAACUAUAGCAACCCCAUUUUGAAUAGUCG
rnacentral:lncRNA from 1 species